rnacentral:rRNA from 1 species
UACGUAUGGACCGAGCGUUGUCCGGAAUCAUUGGGCGUAAAGCGCACGCAGGCGGUUGAUUGAGUCAGAUGUGAAAUCCCCGGGCUUAACCUGGGAAUAGCAUUUCAGACUGGGAGUCUAGAGUACUUUAGGGAGGGGUAGAAUUCCACGUGUAGCGGUGAAAUGCGUAGAGAUGUGGAGGAAUACCGAAGGCGAAGGCAGCCCCUUGGGAAUGUACUGACGCUCAUGUGCGAAAGCGUGGGGAGCAAACAGG